GGAACUCUUAAGAUCAGAAGAAUCUUGAUUGAGAUGUUGUUUUGCCUGCAGUGUUCUCUUGCCUGACAUACAGUUCUUCAAAAAAACUAGUCUUCAAAAAUGCUGUCAUCUGGACCUCCUUGUUAUGGCCAUAAGAAAUGGGAAGUUGGAGUUCCCGUCAUGGCGCAGUGGUUAAUGAAUCCAACUAGGAACCAUGAGGUUGCGAGUUCGAUUCCUGGCCUUGCUCAGUUAAGAAUCCGGCAUUGCUGUGAGCUGUGGUGUAGGUUGCAGAUGCGGCUCGGAUCCCACGUUGCUGUGGCUCUGGUGUAGUCUGGCGGCUAUGGCUCUGAUUCGACACCUAGCCUUGGAACCUCCAUAUGCCGCAGAAGCGGCCCAAAAAAUGGCAAAAAGACAAAAGGGGGGUGUGUACGAUUGCUCACAUUCUUGAAUGCUCUAGGCUUCUCUGGUACAUCUGGAAAGGCUUUAUUUUGAACCCUGCAACAUUUCUACCCCAACACAGUGUUAAACAGUCUCUGAAAGCCUUGAAUCCUGGCAUUGUCUUGGACUCUGUGAUGAAUGUGUGUGUGUUCUGGCACACAGUUCCAAAACCAGCUUGUUUCAUCAACAUUAACUUCUUGUUCUGGCAAAAUAUUUCUCAUCCUGGAGUUCCUAUCGUGGCGCAGUGGAAAUGAAUCUAAGAACCAUGAGGUUGGCAGGUUCAAUCCCUGGUUUUGCUCAGUGGGUUGAGGAUAUGGCGUCGUGAGCUGUGGUGUAGGUUGCAGACGAGGCUGGGAUCAGGCAUUGCUGUGGCUGUGGUGUAGGCCGGGAGCUGUAGCUCCGAUUAGACCCCUAGCCUGGGAACCUCUAUAUGCUACGGGUGGGGCCCUAAAAAGAAAAAAAAAAAAUUUCUCAUCCACAAUCAUCCCAUAUAACUCUUCCUUAAAAAAGCUUUGGCCCCUUCGGCAUUGGUACUUGAUGCCUCAUGGCUUCCACAUUAUGAAAAUUAUGAUGCCUUUUGAAGCACUGAAACCUUGCUAUAAACUGAAAACUUGCUAUAAACACUCGUGUAGAAAGAGCAAAUUGAAAAGCCCUCUUGCCUUAGCCUGGAUCAUAAGUAGGCUAAACAGUAGGUAUGUGCUUCUGAAUCUGGUCAUCCGGUGACAAGUACAUUUUCAGUAUUGUCCAUUGGUCCAGCUCUUUUCAUCAUGACAACAGUGUAUUUAAUUAAUGCUGACUAUCUUGCUGCAUCACCGAUUUACUUCUUAUUUUUUCUUUUUAGGGCCGUACUAGCAGCAUAUGGAGGUUCCCAGGCUAGGGGUCCAAUCAGCGCUACAGCUGCCAGCCUACACCACAGCCACAGCAAUGCCAGAUCCUUAACCCACUGAGCAAGGCCAGGAAUUGAACUGGCAACCUUCUGGUUCCUACAGAUUCGUUUCCUCUGCACCAUGAAGGUAACUCCUACUUCUUAUUCGUCAAGAUGGUUGAGAUCAUCAAUUGCCAAAGUCCUAACUCGCAUGUGAUGCCCAUUAUGGUCUGCCACCUUCAUGCUGGGCAGUUAUCUUAGGUUUUAUCUCAUGAGUAAUUGCCUUCCUCUUCUCCCCACCAGAAGCAGCAGACACCAGUGGCAUUUUGUAGAUAUCCCAGAAUGUGAAAGCAUAAACCACAAUAUAUAAUACACUAGCAACACAGUACACUCAAGAGUAUCAACUGUUUACCUUCGUGAUCAUAUGGCUUACAGGGAGCUGUCAACAUCCACUUCUAAUUAAAAAACUCUCAACAGGAGUUCUCGUCAUAGCUCAGUGGAAACGAAUCUGACUAGCAUCCCUGAGGAUGCAGGUUCAAUCCCUGGCGGAUCUGGUGUUGCUGUGGCUGUGGUGUAGGCCAACAGCUAUAGCUCUAAUUCGACCCCUAGCCUGGGAACCUCCAUAUGCCACAGGUGCAGCCCUAAAACAAACAAACAAAAAACCACUAAAUGCAUUGUUAAAAACAUUCCUACGGCAGGUUCUCACUGAUGAAGUGUUUCUACUAAACAUUUUUAAAGAUUACUAUAUAUACAUUUAGAGCUGUAAAUUCCCAUCCGUUAUAACGGAAUUCCACCAUUUUUUAAGGGUUGUAUUUUUUACUACUCAGUUCCAAAUAUCUCGUUUCCAUUCUGAUUUCUUGAUUGAAUUACUUAGAAGUAUGCAGCUUAAUUUUUCAACAUUUAAGGAUUUUGUAGUUAUCUUUGUUUCCAUUGUCACCAUAGAACUUAUUCUUUAAUAUGAUUUCAACGUGUAUACUCCUUUGAAAGUUGCAUUUGCUUUUUGGGCAGUGCAUAGUGGUUCUUGGUGAAUAAUCAAUGUGCACUUGCAUGUAUAUUUUGUAGUCAUUGGCUUUGGUGUUUGGUUUUUCUUUUUUUCUUUCUAGGGCCGCACCUGCAGCAUAUGGAGGCUCCCAGGCUAGGGGCGAAUUCAGAGCUGUAGCCACCAGCAAUGAGGAAUCUGAGCAGCAUCUUUGAUCUACACCACAGCUCACAGCAACACUGGAUCCUUUACCCACUGAGCAAAGCCAGGGAUGGAACCCACAUCCUCAUGGUUCCUAGUCAGAUUGUUUCUGCUGUGCCAUGAUGGGAACUCCCCAGUUCAAUUAUUUUAUAUCUGUAUUGGUUUCAUGUCUGUUUAUUAUAUCAAUUACAGAAACAGGAGGGUUAGAAUCUCCCAACUAUGACUGUGAAUUUGUUUUCUCCCUUAAUUCUGUCAAAUUUUGCCUCAUAUUACUUUAAAGCUCUGCUAAUUAGGUACAUACCUCCUUAGGAUUAUUCUAUCUUCCUGCUGAACUGAUCCUUUUAUGAUUGUGAAAACUUCUUCUCUGGUAAAACCCUAUCUUAAAAUCACUUUGGCUUUAAUAUAGCCAUAUUUGCUUUCAUUGAUUAGUGUCUGCAUGAUAUAACUUUUUCCAUGCUUUGUUUUUAACUUACAAUCUGUAUCUUUUUUUUUUUUUUUUUUUGCCAGAACCCACGCCAAAUAUAAGUUCCCAGAUGAGGGACUGAACCUGAGCCGCAGCAGUGACCUACACCACAACUGCGGCAACCAACGUCGAUCCUUUAACCCACUGCACCAGGCCAGGGAUAGAAUACCCAUCUCCACAGUGAGCAAGAUCCUUAAUCCACUGCACCAUAGCAGGCACUCCCAAACUAUAUCUUUUAUAAAUAGCAUAUAGUCUCUUAUUUAAUCCAGUCAGACCAUUUUUAUCUUACAGUUAGAGCAUAGGUACCCCUACUUUCUGAAUGUUCGCUUUACACCACUUCACUUUUAUGAAACACCUACAUCAGUACCUGUUUUUGCUAACUAAAAAAUCUGAGGAAGAUUUUUGCUUU
rnacentral:lncRNA from 1 species